rnacentral:misc_RNA from 1 species
GAACUGCGAUAAGUAAUGUGAAUUGCAGAAUUCAGUGAAUCAUCGAGUCUUUGAACGCACAUUGCGCCCCCUGGCAUUCCGGGGGGCAUGCCUGUCCGAGCGUCAUUGCUGCCCUUCAAGCCCGGCUUGUGUGUUGGGUCGUCGUCCCCCCCGGGGGACGGGCCCGAAAGGCAGCGGCGGCACCGUGUCCGGUCCUCGAGCGUAUGGGGCUUUGUCACCCGCUCGAUUAGGGCCGGCCGGGCGCCAGCCGGCGUCUCCGACCUUAUUUUUCUCAGGUUGACCUCGGAUCAGGUAGGGAUACCCGCUGAACUUAAGC